rnacentral:rRNA from 2 species
UACGUAGGUGGCAAGCGUUGUCCGGAAUUACUGGGUGUAAAGGGAGCGUAGGCGGUUUGGUAAGUUGAGUGUGAAAUCUACCGGCUUAACUGGUAGGCUGCGCUCAAAACUGCCAAACUUGAGUGAAGUAGAGGCAGGCGGAAUUCCCGGUGUAGCGGUGGAAUGCGUAGAUAUCGGGAGGAACACCAGUGGCGAAGGCGGCCUGCUGGGCUUUUACUGACGCUGAUGCUCGAAAGCAUGGGGAGCAAAC